GACGAACGCUGGCGGCGUGCCUAAUACAUGCAAGUAGAACGCAGUUGCGAACGGGUGAGUAACGCGUAGGUAACUGCCUGGUAGCGGGGGAUCACUAUUGGAAACGAUAGCUAAUACCGCAAACUACCAGAUGGACCUGCGUUGUAUUAGCUAGUUGGUGGGGUAACGGCCCACAAAGGCAACGAUACAUAGCCGACCUGAGAGGGGGAUCGGCCAAACUGGUGCUGAGACACGGCCAAGACGCCUACGUGAGGCAGCAUAAGAGAAUCUUCGGCAAUGGACGGAAGUCUGACCGAGCAACGCGGCGUGAGUGAAGAAGGGUUUCGGGUCGUAAAGCUCUGUUGUAAGAGAAGCGGUAUCUGACCAGAAAGGGACGGCAAACUACGUGCCAGCCGCCGCGGUAGUUC
rnacentral:rRNA from 1 species